UACGUAGGGUGCGAGCGUUAAUCGGAAUUACUGGGCGUAAAGCGUGCGCAGGCGGUUGGUUAAGUCUGAUGUGAAAGCCCCCGGCUCAACUGGGGAGGGUCAUUCGAUACUGAUCGACUCGAAGGCAGGAGAGGGUAGUGGAAUUCCCGGUGUAGUGGUGAAAUGCGUAGAUAUCGGGAGGAACACCAGUGGCGAAGGCGACUACCUGGCCUGUUCUUGACGCUGAGGCGCGAAAGCUAGGGGAGCAAACGGG
rnacentral:rRNA from 1 species